CAGAAAAUAGUUUAAUAAAAAAUUUUAAUUUUGGAGAUUAAAGAUAGAAGUAGCUUUCUUUUUCUGA
rnacentral:tRNA from 1 species